rnacentral:rRNA from 1 species
UNUGACUUGAGUGCAGAAGGGGAGAGUGGAAUUCCAUGUGUAGCGGUGAAAUGCGUAGAUAUAUGGAGGAACACCAGUGGCGAAAGCGGCUCUCUGGUCUGUCACUGACGCUGAGGCUCGAAAGCGUGGGUAGCGAACAGGAUUAGAUACCCUGGUAGUNCACGCCGUAAACGAUGAGUGCUAGGUGUUAGGCCCUUUCCGGGGCUUAGUGCCGGAGCUAACGCAAUAAGCACUCCGCCUGGGGAGUAGGACCGCAAGGUUGAAACUCAAAGGAAUUGACGGGGGCCCGCACAAGCGGUGGAGCAUGUGGUUUAAUUCGAAGCAACGCGAAGAACCUUACCAGGUCUUGACAUCCCGAUGCUAUUCUUAGAGAUAGGAAGUUACUUCGGUACAUCGGAGACAGGUGGUGCAUGGUUGUCGUCAGCUCGUGUCGUGAGAUGUUGGGUUAAGUCCCGCAACGAGCGCAACCCUUAUUGUUAGUUGCCAUCAUUAAGUUGGGCACUCUAGCGAGACUGCCGGUAAUAAACCGGAGGAAGGUGGGGAUGACGUCAAAUCAUCAUGCCCCUUAUGACCUGGGCUACACACGUGCUACAAUGGUCGGUACAACGAGUUGCGAGCCGGUGACGGCAAGCUAAUCUCUGAAAGCCGAUCUCAGUUCGGAUUGGAGGCUGCAACUCGCCUCCAUGAAGUCGGAAUCGCUAGUAAUCGCGGAUCAGCACGCCGCGGUGAAUACGUUCCCGGGCCUUGUACACACCGCCCGUCACACCACGAGAGUUUGUAACACCCGAAGUCGGUGAGGUANCCUUUUAGGG